UUGCUCAAGUGCACUCAAUACAUACCACCAAAUCACAUCAUCAACCAUGUUAAGAUAACAUAAAAAUAAAAUAGAAUUAAGAAUCGGACCUUAGCAGAACUGAUUUUUGAUAAUAGUGAGUUAGUGAAGCCUAAGCUCGAAAUCCUCGAACAAAAACCUCAACGACGAACAAACCAAUUUGGUAUCGAGGACCAUAACCCCGAACAGACUUAAACCAGCUGAAAAAUCUCAAUACGAACCCCAAAUCACAAAUUUUGAAUUAAGCUUAAAGAGGUCUCGCCGGAAUCGGAGUUGGGUUUGCGUUUUUUGUUUUGCCACUGAGGUGAGCUCAAGCGGUGAUGGAGAAGAGAAGAUUGAUCGAAUUUUUGGAAUUUCUGGUGGGUUCUUGGAACGGAUUAGAGUGGGAACUGUUGUUUUCAUUUCGUCGGAACUCCGUCGAGCUCAUGCGGGAAGAGCCUACUGAACCAUACUAUUACUUGCAGUUGGACUCCCCCCCUCCAUGAGAGUUCAACUAGAAUAGAGCCUUGUUGUUUGAGCAUAGCUUUGUUAUUUCCGUAAGUAUCUCGUUAUCUUCAUGUGACAGGAAAUCAGGAAUGUGCUUAAUUAAUGUGCAAGAAGGCAUGAUGACUAUCUAUAUGUGUUAUGCUGAAAUAGAAGAUAUGAUCGACCUUUGAGACACUAUACUGUCUUGUUAGUUAUUGUUCUCCAUUUCAAAUACUGAAAUACUUUUGCUUUAUAUUGAAAGUAUUGACUUUUGGGAAAGCAUAUUCUUGAUGAUAUUGUGUUGUCUUAAAGAUAUAAAGCUCUUCAUGUAACAUUUUCAUAUGGGAAUUGUGUGUGUGUUUCCAUUUCUAAA